UAACGGCGAGUGAAGCGGCAACAGCUCAAAUUUGAAAUCUGGCCCCCAGGGCCCGAGUUGUAAUUUGCAGAGGAUGCUUUUGGCGCGGUGCCUUCCGAGUUCCCUGGAACGGGACGCCAUAGAGGGUGAGAGCCCCGUCUGGUCGGACACCAAGCCAGUGUAAAGCUCCUUCGACGAGUCGAGUAGUUUGGGAAUGCUGCUCUAAAUGGGAGGUAUAUGUCUUCUAAAGCUAAAUACCGGCCAGAGACCGAUAGCGCACAAGUAGAGUGAUCGAAAGAUGAAAAGCACUUUGAAAAGAGGGUUAAACAGUACGUGAAAUUGUUGAAAGGGAAGCGUUUAUGACCAGACUUGGGCCCGGUGAAUCAUCCAGCGUUCUCGCUGGUGCACUUUGCCGGGCUCAGGCCAGCAUCAGUUCGUCGCGGGGGACAAAAGCUUCGGGAACGUGGCUCCCUCGGGAGUGUUAUAGCCCGUUGCAUAAUACCCUGCGGUGGACUGAGGUUCGCGCUCCGCAAGGAUGCUGGCGUAAUGGUCAUCAGCGACCCGUCUUGAAACACGGACCAAGGAGUCGUCUUCGUAUGCGAGUGUUCGGGUGUCAAACCCCUACGCGUAAUGAAAGUGAACGCAGGUGAGAGCUUCGGCGCAUCAUCGACCGAUCCUGAUGUUCUCGGAUGGAUUUGAGUAAGAGCAUACGGGGCCGGACCCGAAAGAAGGUGAACUAUGCCUGUAUAGGGUGAAGCCAGAGGAAACUCUGGUGGAGGCUCGCAGCGGUUCUGACGUGCAAAUCGAUCGUCAAAUAUGGGCAUGGGG
rnacentral:rRNA from 1 species